rnacentral:rRNA from 1 species
UACGGAGGGUGCAAGCGUUAUCCGGAUUUAUUGGGCGUAAAGAGCUCGUAGGCGGCUUGUCGCGUCGAAUGUGAAAACUCGGGGCUCAACUCCGAGCUUGCAUUCGAUACGGGCAGGCUAGAGUUCGGUAGGGGAGACUGGAAUUCCUGGUGUAGCGGUGAAAUGCGCAGAUAUCAGGAGGAACACCGGUGGCGAAGGCGGGUCUCUGGGCCGUAACUGACGCUGAGGAGCGAAAGCGUGGGGAGCGAACAGG